GGAAGGGCUGUAGCUCAGCGAAAGAGCAUCUGCUUUGCAUGAAUGCAAAAGGCCCCAGAGUCAAUCCCUGGCAUUUCCA